rnacentral:rRNA from 1 species
UACGAAGGGGGCUAGCGUUGCUCGGAAUUACUGGGCGUAAAGCGCACGUAGGCGGAUUGUUAAGUCGGGGGUGAAAUCCUGGAGCUCAACUCCAGAACUGCCUUCGAUACUGGCGAUCUCGAGUUCGGGAGAGGUGAGUGGAACUGCGAGUGUAGAGGUGAAAUUCGUAGAUAUUCGGAAGAACACCAGUGGCGAAGGCGACACACUGGCCCGUUACUGACGCUGAGGCGCGAAAGCGUGGGGAGCAAACAGG